ensembl:lncRNA
AGUACAAGUCAGCUGGAUGGGAGGCAACUCUGUUUCUCAACCACUUGAAGUCUAACUUAUAAUUGCCAACUUAUUACUUCCAAAGGGUGUCCACCCCAUCAUGAGGGCAGGUGAACACCUGGACCAGAAACUGGAAAUGUGUGCUCUAAUAUCUCUCAAACCAGAGGUAGAAAGGGCCAGAGCGGGCAUGGACCAGAACAUCCAACUGCAUUCUCCUCUCCCCAGGUGGACAGCUCUGAUGACCAUCCUUUCCCGCAUCCCCCUCAGCAUUUAGCAGCUUUCCUGGUUGAAUCUACGUCCUGGCCGGCAUCUCUCUCAGGUGUGUUCAUGCCUAUUUACUGGCAGGUCUGAUAUGUGCUGAAGGAGAGUGGACCAAGCUCGGUGGAUACAUU